rnacentral:rRNA from 1 species
UACGUAGGCAGCAAGCGUUGUUCGGAGUUACUGGGCGUAAAGAGUGCGUAGGCGGUGUCGAAAGUUUGGCGUGAAAUCUCCCGGCUUAACUGGGAGGGUGCGCCGAAAACUGCGGUGCUGGAGUGUGGGAAAGGCAAGCGGAAUUCCUGGUGUAGCGGUGAAAUGCGUAGAGAUCAGGAAGAACACCAGUGGCGAAGGCGCUCUGCUAGGCCGUAACUGACACUGAGGGACGAAAGCUAGGGGAGCGAAUGGG